rnacentral:rRNA from 1 species
CGUAGGUGGCAAGCGUUGUCCGGAAUUAUUGGGCGUAAAGCGCGCGCAGGCGGUCCUUUAAGUCUGAUGUGAAAGCCCACGGCUCAACCGUGGAGGGUCAUUGGAAACUGGGGGACUUGAGUACAGAAGAGAAGAGUGGAAUUCCACGUGUAGCGGUGAAAUGCGUAGAGUUGUGGAGGAACACCAGUGGCGAAGGCGACUCUUUGGUCUGUAACUGACGCUGAGGCGCGAAAGCGUGGGGAGCAAACAGGAUUAGAUACCCUGGUAGUCCACGCCGUAAACGAUGAGUGCUAAGUGUUAGAGGGUUUCCGCCCUUUAGUGCUGCAGCAAACGCAUUAAGCACUCCGCCUGGGGAGUACGGCCGCAAGGCUG